UACGGAGGGUGCAAGCGUUGUCCGGAUUUAUUGGGUUUAAAGGGUGCGUAGGCGGGGUCUCAAGUCUGGUUUGAAAGUUAGCUGCUCAACAGUUAGACGUGGCUGGAAACUGGGAUUCUGGAGUGGGUUGGCGGCUGCCGGAACGGGUCAUGUAGCGGUGAAAUGCAUAGAUAUGACCCAGAACACCGAUUGCGAAGGCAGGCAGCUACGACCUGAUUGACGCUGAGGCACGAGAGCAUGGGUAGCGAACAGG
rnacentral:rRNA from 1 species